AUUGAACGCUGGCGGCAUGCCUAACACAUGCAAGUCGAACGAGUAGCGGACGGGUGAGUAAUGUCUGGGAAACUGCCCGAUGGAGGGGGGUGACUCCUGAGAACGGUAGCUAAUACCGCCUACCAUCGUAUGUGCCCAGAUGGGAUUAGCUAGUAGGGGGGGUAACGUCUCACCUAGGCGACGAUCCCUAGCUGGUCUGAGAGGAUGACCAGCAACCCGUGACCUGAGACACGGCCCAGACUCCGACGGGAGGAACCAGUCGGGACUAUUGCACCAUGGGUGCAAGUCCGAUGCAGUCAGGCCGCGUGUAUGAAGAAGGCCUUCGGGUUCCAAAGUACUUUCAGCGAGGAGGCGUUCCUCGCAGAAUAAGCGCCGGCUAACACCGUGCAAGCAGUCGCGGUAAUAA
rnacentral:rRNA from 1 species